rnacentral:tRNA from 1 species
GCCUGGGUGGCUCAGUUGGUUAAGCAUCUGACUUUGACUCAGGUCGUGAUCUUGCGGGUUCGUGGGUUCGAGCCCCGCACCUGGCU